rfam:Canis lupus familiaris chromosome 7, whole genome shotgun sequence.
CCGCGAUGAUGGCAUUUCUUAGGACACCUUUGGAUUAACCGUGAGAACAGCUAUCAGCUGAGCGGC